rnacentral:lncRNA from 1 species
UUUUUUUCGAUUUUUUUCGAUUUUUUCGAUUUUUUUGAAUUUUCUAUGUAUUUUACUUUUUAUUUAAAAGAAAAAAUAAAAAAUAAAAAACCGACACAUCAUCACAAAAUGAACAAUACAGGUCACCUAGUUGACUUGGAGGUUUGUUAAGAUAAAAAUAUCAAUUUCAAGGUUUAAAGUGCUAGUCAAAAACGUUCAAUGUUUAAAGUGCGUGAAUGUGACACUCUGAGGGCUUAAAAUGCGAUUUUUCCGUUUCUAUAAUAGUGGCGACGAAAAUUGGAUGAUAUGGAUAAAAUUGAAAUCAAGAACAUAGGUGACCAAGAAAAAAAUAGCGAGAAUUAACAUACAGUUAUCUGCUUCACCUCAUAUGAACACUGACCCCAACCACAUCUCACCAACAACCACUUAUCACCAAGCCAAGUUUCACCGACCGACGUGUCACCCAACCACUUUUCACUCAACCACACUUCUCCCAACUACGAAAUGCAAGAACCACCACUACGAACAUGGCGG